rnacentral:rRNA from 1 species
UACGUAGGCAGCAAGCGUUGUUCGGAAUUACUGGGCGUAAAGAGUGUGUAGGCGGUGCUCCAAGUCUGGUGUGAAAUCUCCCGGCUUAACUGGGAGGGUGCAUUAGAAACUGGAAUGCUAGAGGAUGGGAGAGGUAAGCGGAAUUCCUGGUGUAGCGGUGAAAUGCGUAGAUAUCAGGAGGAACACCGGUGGCGAAGGCGGUGGGCUGGGCCGGCACUGACGCUGAGGAGCGAAAGCGUGGGGAGCGAACAGG